rnacentral:rRNA from 1 species
AUUGAACGCUGGCGGCAGGCCUAACACAUGCAAGUCGGGCGAGCGGCUGACGUGUGAGUAAUGUAUGGGGAUCUGCCUGAUGGCGGGGGAUAACUACUGGAAACGGUAGCUACUACCGCAUACCGUCAGAUGAACCCAUAUGGAAUUAGCUUGUAGGUGAGGUAACGGCUCACCUCGGCGACGAUCCCUAGAUGGUCGGAGAGGAUGAUCAGCCACACUGGGACUGAGACACGGCCCAGACUCCUACGGGCGUCAGCGGUGGGGAAUAUUGCACCAUGGGCGCAAGCCUGAUGCAGCCAUGCCGCGUGUAUGAAGAAGGCCUUCGGGUUGUAAAGUACUUUUGGCAGAGAAGCGGUAUCUGCAGAAUAAGCACCGGCUAACUACGUGCCAGCAGCCGCGGUAAUAC